AGAGUUUGAUCCUGGCUCAGAUUGAACGCUGGCGGCAUGCCUUACACAUGCAAGUCGAACGGCAGCACGGGGGUAACCCUGGUGGCGAGUGGCGAACGGGUGAGUAAUACAUCGGAACGUGUCCUGGAGUGGGGGAUAGCCCGGCGAAAGCCGGAUUAAUACCGCAUACGCUCUAUGGAGGAAAGCGGGGGAUCUUCGGACCUCGCGCUCAAGGGGCGGCCGAUGGCGGAUUAGCUAGUUGGUAGGGUAAAGGCCUACCAAGGCGACGAUCCGUAGCUGGUCUGAGAGGACGACCAGCCACACUGGGACUGAGACACGGCCCAGACUCCUACGGGAGGCAGCAGUGGGGAAUUUUGGACAAUGGGGGCAACCCUGAUCCAGCAAUGCCGCGUGUGUGAAGAAGGCCUUCGGGUUGUAAAGCACUUUUGUCCGGAAAGAAAUCCUCUGGGUUAAUACCUCGGGGGGAUGACGGUACCGGAAGAAUAAGCACCGGCUAACUACGUGCCAGCCGCCGCGGUAAUUC
rnacentral:rRNA from 1 species